AUUGAACGCUGGCGGCAUGCCUUACACAUGCAAGUCGAACGGCAGCGCGGGAGCAAUCCUGGCGGCGAGUGGCGAACGGGUGAGUAAUAUAUCGGAACGUGCCCAGUAGUGGGGGAUAGCCCGGCGAAAGCCGGAUUAAUACCACAUACGACCUACGGGUGAAAGGGGGGGAUCGCAAGACCUCUCGCUAUUGGAGCGGCCGAUAUCAGAUUAGGUAGUUGGUGGGGUAAAGGCCUACCAAGCCUGCGAUCUGUAGUUGGUCUGAGGGGACGACCAGCCACACUGAGACUGAGACACGGCCCAGACUCCUACGGGACGCAGCAGUGGGGAAUUAUGGACAAUGGGCGCAAGCCUGAUUCAGCAAUGCCGCGUGCAGGAAGAAGGCCUUCGGGUUGUGAACUGCUUUUGUCAGGGAAGAAAUCCUCUAGGCUAAUACCUUGGGGGGAUGACGGUACCUGAAGAAUAAGCACCGGCUAACUACGUGCCAGCCGCCGCCGUAAUAC
rnacentral:rRNA from 1 species